CCUACGGGGGGCAGCAGUGAGGAAUAUUGGUCAAUGGACGAGAGUCUGAACCAGCCAAGUAGCGUGAAGGAUGACUGCCCUAUGGGUUGUAAACUUCUUUUAUAUAGGAAUAAAACGAGCCACGUGUGCCUUUUUGCAUGUACUUUAUGAAUAAGGAUCGGCUAACUCCGUGCCAGCAGCCGCGGUAAUACGGAGGGUCCGGGCGUUAUCCGGAUUUCUUGGGUUUAAAGGGAGCGUAGGGGGGUCUUUAAGUGUGUCGUGAAAUUUUGUGGCUCAACCCUGAGAGUGCGGCGCGAACUGGAGACCUUGAGUGCGCGGGAGGCAGGCGGAAUUCGUGGUGUAGCGGUGAAAUGCUUAGAUAUCACGAAGAACCCCGAUUGCGAAGGCAGCCUGCCGGAGCGUUACUGACGCUGAGGCUCGAAAGUGUGGGUAUCGAACAGGAUUAGAUACCCUUGUAGUC
rnacentral:rRNA from 1 species